rnacentral:lncRNA from 1 species
UGUAUAUUUAUAUGUUUUUUGAAUUGAAUUGAAUUUUAUUUUAUUAAUAUAGUUUUCAGACACAUGGGCUUUUGUGGAUCUUAUGAUUUCUCCAAGAAUCUUUUGUGCUCCAUGUCUGCAUACCUUAAAUCUUUUUUAUAAAUAGGCAGGAACUGCUGGGUCACUCUUUCCAUAAUUGCUUGAUUUUUUUCAGCUUUUUCUUUGUUAGUGAGUUUCUAUUAUUUUUAUUCUUUGGUGUCUGAAAUCUAUAUGAACAAUAAAAAUUACUACUGAAAGGUGAAGUCCACACAGAAUUAUGAAUAUAACAAAUGAAAUAAAACAGACACUAUUAUUCUUUCCUUUGUAAGAUUUUAAAUUAAUUGUCUUGGCUUGAGCUUAUAGCGUAUUGUGUCCUGAUUAUAUUUAGUGCUUAUAUAUAUAUAUACAUAUAUAUAUAUGUGUUAAAAUAAGUCAUUUGAUAUCAAAAUGUGGAUUAUCUUUAUAAAAAUUUCAUCUAGACAUAAUUCAUAAAACAAAUCAGCAAAAAUGUUUUUAAAAAACUAGAGAGUUUGGAUUUUUUAAAAUAUUUUUAACUGACACACGUAUAGAUUUUUUUUAAUUUUAUUUUUAUUUAUUAAAAUUAGGUGAUUAUAAAAUUAAUUUCAAUAUGUACUUGAUGGUGAUAACUAUGAUUUUUAUCUAUAGAAUAUGUACAUGCUAAAGAAGAUGUUAAGUAUGGAAAAAUCGUCUUGAUUUAUACAAUACAAUUUUUUCAUAAGUAUGUGAUAAUUAAAAUUCAGAUUUAUGCAUAAAAUAUUGAUAAUUUAUUUCAAUUAUGAUAACAUGACCUCAUUGAUUUAUGAUAAAUUUUCUUCAAUUGUUCACGUAGUCAUUAUUAUACUUUUUGAAAAUUUUCUUAUAGCUUAGUAAUUAAAGAUAUGUAAAUUCCAUAUUUGUGACAAUAAAAUCACUUUGGUUUCAUCCUGUUUUCAAAAUGUCUAAAUAUUCAUUGGAGUUAAUCUGUUUAUAACCAUUGAGAUAAGCUUUAUUUUGUUUUGUUUUAGAGCUAGUCAUGUGUCUUGAUUUUUUUCAACAUUAUUUAUUUAUUUAUAAAGAAUAAGUAGAAUCAACUAGUUUGUUAUGUGUAGUUUACUUUUCAAUACACAAACAUCGUUGUAGAUGUGUUAAAAAACAAACUAAUUCAACAGAAUAAUUGAAAGAUAUAAAAUAAGUCUUCAAAAAGAAAAUGGAUUUAAAAUAUAAUGUGUAUUAAAAUAAAAUUUCUAAAAUUAUAUUCAUACACACAUACACACAUGUUUUUAUUAUUAUUAUUAUUAUUAUUAUUUUUCAUUGCAUAUUAUGUGCUGCAUUAGAAAUUUAGAUGGAACCUAUGAACAAUCUACAUUUAAAUAGUAAACCUAAAACUCAUUCUUUUAUCUUACUAUAUUUAUUUUAGGUAUAACUAUGAAUUUCAUGAUAUGUGCACCCUCAACAAUGGAUAUCAAUAAACAUGGAUAAUUAUGUUGAAAGAUUUUAUAUUGCAUAAUUUAAAUUAAAUAAAUAAAUAAAUCAGUUUGUGAUACUUGUUGCAUAAUUUCACACGUUGAGUAAGUUUUUUAACCAAAUUUUUAUUAAAAAUAUUAAAAUAUGAUUUAUAAAAUUCGAAAAACAUUCUUUAAUGCAAUAUCUGAUGGAAUUUGAUUGACUUUCUUUCUUUUUUUUAUUUUUCUUUUCUAUUCUUUUCUUUCAAAAAUAUAUGGAAGUGAUUAAUAUUCAUUACAUGACAUUAUGCACAAAACAUCCUCACACACACAUAAAAAUGCCUAUUCAAAAAGUGUUUAUAUAAUAGCAGUCCAAUGUACUUGUGAAAUCAACCACCAGACCUAAAACCUUUGUAAUAUCCUAU